GACGAACGCUGGCGGCGUGCUUAACACAUGCAAGUCGAACGGAAAGGCUCCAGCUUGCUGGAGUACUCGAGUGGCGAACGGGUGGGUAACACGUGGGUGAUCUGCCCUGCACUUCGGGAUAAGCCUGGGAAACUGGGUCUAAUACCGGAUAGGACCGCACUUUGGUGUGUGUGGUGGAAAGGUUUUUCUGGUGUGGGAUGAGCUCGCGGCCUAUCAGUUUGUUGGUGGGGUAAUGGCCUACCAAGACGGCGACGGGUAGCCGGCCUGAGAGGGUGGACGGCCACAUUGGGACUGAGAUACGGCCCAGACUCCUACGGGAGGCAGCAGUGGGGAAUAUUGCACAAUGGGGGAAACCCUGAUGCAGCGACGCCGCGUGGGGGAUGAAGGCCUUCGGGUUGUAAACUCCUUUCGCUAGGGACGAAGCUUUUUGUGACGGUACCUGGAGAAGAAGCACCGGCUAACUACGUG
rnacentral:rRNA from 1 species